CUCCUCUCCCACCCUCACCCUGCAGCCUCCUCUCCCACCCUCACCCUGCAGCCUCCUCUCCCACCCCUCACCCUGCAGCAGCCUCCUCUCCCACCCUCACCCUGCAGCCUCCUCUCCCACCCUCACCCUGCAGCAGCCUCCUCUCCCACAUGGAUUACAUAUCAACUGAAAUAGGAACAAGAAAAGUAUCUAGAGGUGUGACUGAAAACAAGUGCCAUAAUAAUUCAGACAUUUAGGUCUGGUAGGGAGUGAAUAAAUGGGAGUUUCUUUGUGUGUGUAUCAAAAAGUCCUUUGUAACCAAGCAACUGACUGUCACAGGUCUGGUUGGCGAUAAGCUUUAGGGCUGCUUGUUAACGCGGAGCCUUCAGUGUUAGCAAGCCGUCGUAACGCCUUGGACCAGAGCUAGUUGCUGCCGCGCUAAGCCUUUCCAGCUCUCGUUCAACUAAUAUAGACUGGUUCAGAUAGAAUGUCCAUCUAUUUUGUUUGAUGUGGGUAAUUUAAACGUUAUUUAUUAAUAUCUAAGCAAUUAUUAGGGCAUGUUGAAUUGACAGGUUGUGCGGGAUAGUUACAUUUUUUUUUUUAUAUAUAUUAAUUUACAUUUAUUUGAGGUGUUGUCGUUUCAUCCAAACCAUUUUUAAUAUUAACCUCUAUCGAUGGGUUGUUGUUUUUCUAUGACCGUUUGGUGUAGGCUUGCUUCCCAAAUGGCCCCCUAUUCCCUAUUUAGUGCACUACUUUUGAUCAGGGGCCCAUAGAGCUCUGGUUAAAUAUAGUGCACCUAAUAGUGAAUAGGCUUCCAUUUGGGACGUUCCCAUAAUCCACCUCUCUUCCUCCCUCCGGCUUGGUAGCAUUUUAGAAUUUGAAUAUAAUGUCAAAUGUUUUGUUCCUGGGUUUUUUUUCCUUUUAAACUUUGACUUUAUUCAGUAUUUUUGCACCAUGUAAGAAGCACUUUUGUAAAUUUUCUUUUUUUAUUUAAAAUGACAAAACAAGGGAAAUACAUUAGUUUUCUGUAACAUCAUUGGCCUUCCCUUCAAAACUUUGAAUGUAUGCAGUUAUUGUAAUAAAACAUUUUUUAAAACUAUUAACAAUACACACCUACUGUCGUUCUACUUACUAACUGCCAGUAAACCCAGGCUGCUGUGACGUGUGUGUCAACUCCUAUAUUUGGCUUGCUAACUCCUAUGGUCACUGUCAAGGGGAUACAAACAGAUCUGGGAGCAGGGAAGGCCAUCUGUACGAAGGUGUAUGGAAAGAAUUGAUACAGUAUUGUUGAG
rnacentral:lncRNA from 1 species